rnacentral:tRNA from 1 species
GUUUUUAUAGCUAAAAUUUAAGGUAUAGUUUUGAAGAAACUAAGGUGAAGUAAUUCUAAAAACA